UUGUAAUUAAAAGGUCGUAACAAGGUCUCCGUUGGUGAACCAGCGGAGGGAUCAUUGCUGGAACGCGCCCCUGGCGCACCCAGAAACCCUUUGUGAACUCAUACCUUACCGUUGCCUCGGCGCAGGCCGGCCCCCCCCGGGGGGCCCCUCGGAGACGAGGAGCAGGCCCGCCGGCGGCCAAGUUAACUCUUGUUUUUACACUGAAACUCUGAGAAACAAAACACAAAUGAAUCAAAACUUUCAACAACGGAUCUCUUGGUUCUGGCAUCGAUGAAGAACGCAGCGAAAUGCGAUAAGUAAUGUGAAUUGCAGAAUUCAGUGAAUCAUCGAAUCUUUGAACGCACAUUGCGCCCUCUGGUAUUCCGGAGGGCAUGCCUGUUCGAGCGUCAUUUCAACCCUCAAGCCUGGCUUGGUGAUGGGGCACUGCUCCCCCCCCCGGGGAGCAGGCCCUGAAAUCCAGUGGCGAGCUCGCCAGGACCCCGAGCGCAGUAGUUAAACCCUCGCUCCGGGAGGCCCUGGCGGUGCCCUGCCGUUAAACCCCCAACUUCUGAAAGUUGACCUCGGAUCAGGUAGAUCCCGGACG
rnacentral:rRNA from 1 species